rnacentral:misc_RNA from 1 species
CCCAAUGUCUACGCAUCGGCCACUAUUUUGAAAUUUUUAUCUUCGUAACAUUGUACAAAAUUAGUGUUCAGCUGGGAGUAUUAAAGACUCCCUAGAAGCUGAUUAGUUGAACGCACAAACAUGAAACAAUAACAGGACCAUUAAAACUCAAAAUCCAUCACGUUCAGUAAGGAAAUAUUGACUUCUAAUGCAUUUGCAAAUUGCAACCAUAGGCAAAAAUUUACGAGUACUCCAGGCAAAAUAAGCGUACACCAUUAAUAAAAGGUGAGGUUCAAAACUCAAAUAAGCGCAAUUCAAUCAUUCCUUCUUUUCUUUUUGGAGAAUACCAAGCAACAACCUUCCCAGAGCGUAGAAGCCUCAAUGAAUAACUCAAACUAUAUAUUAGAUCCUCUACAUGCGGACCUUGUUGCCCUGAUGCAGAACCAAGCGAAAAUCCCGAAUCCACUCGGAAGACAAUUGGGCCAGCAACCUGCUGUUGAAGAAUCAAAUUAAUCCUGGGAGAUGACAAUGGAUUGUCUGCUGCACCACUAACUGAAGACCUCCUGAAAAUAUUUAAAGCCCUUUUGGUAAGAGCAAAAGCUGAACAGAUAUCCAGGCGGGCAUCCACCCUAGUUAGAUCACCAUAUAGCUUUGUAAACUUCCCGUGUUGGAAAGUAUAGCAAACUGAGCCAAAAAAAUCAGCAUUGAAUGGGCUUCUCUUUCCUGUACUUGUUGAGGUAUCCCCGUCUGUAGAUGCUGAGUACCCCCAGCCUCCAAACCGUGCUGCGCAGGAGCCACCUAAGAUGUAUAUCAUGUGAUAAGUUAAUAGUCAGAAACAGCAGCAACCAUUCGGCUUCAGGCACAAUCUAGAACAUAAUACAAAGCUAAUUAGCAACAGAAAGAACUACUCUUCAAUGCAGCAACAUUACCAACAAUUCCAGAUAUUGCUGCAUGAGGUUCACUGAGACGCACAUCAUAUGAGGGACGCCAAAUCCAACCCUUAUCUGCCUUUGUCAUGAUGUCCUUCUUAGUCUGUUUCUUCCUCCAAAGAUCCUUGCUCUUCUCAUAAGAAAAGGAAGCCUUUCCACAUAAUCCAGGCAUCAAAGCAAGAGGUGGCUCAUCAUUUAUGGCAUUAACAGCCUUUGGAUGGCCAUUGCUUUUGUGUAUCCCAAAACGGUACCGGAAGCCAGAUUCAGAGACAAGUGAAGACAUAUCUAAGGAUAUUGACUCAGGAACAUCCCAAUAUCUACCUUUAUGGUCAAUAAACAGCUCAGGCCAUGCAGCCUCCAAAGUGAUAUCAUGAGAAGGAAGCUGUUGAAAGAGCAUCAUUUUGUAGCGAGGUCUCAUCUUCUCACCAUGCCGUUCAGUGCUAAGCAACACAGAAGAGGAAGGAGUUGGAGAAAACUGUGAGGAUAAACCAAUAGAAUAGAGUGACUUGUCCAGGAAAUGUUUGGCCGCAUCCUUAAAUACAGAGAAUUCAAGUUCCUCAGCAUUAGAAAGUUCCGCUUUAAUAGACGAAAUCAAUUUCCUUGGUCGGAACUGCCCGAUUAAUCCCAGCCAGCAGUUAGAGGUGGCAAGUUUGAGCAAGACAGACUGGAGAGAGAAAGAACCAAGGUCCUUGUUAGAAGUGGGAGAGUAAGAGGGAAUGAUACCGAGAGGGAAGCCAUUUCCUAAUAGGGAGAGCUGUUGAAUCCUAAGGGCUCGGCUGGAUCUAGUGGCGUCCAAGGGGAAUGGGUCGCCAGGGAUAGAGCGGGCACAUCCUUCUAGGGUUUUUGGAGAAGAAAUGGGUUGAUCCCAGAAUGCGGAGUCCAUAGCCGUCCUGAGGUUUGCCAUGGUUCAGCUGAGUUUGGUUGGUAGGUUUCCUUAUCUGCGUUUGAAAAACGAAAAUGGUC